rnacentral:rRNA from 1 species
UACAGAGGUCCCAAGCGUUGUUCGGAUUUACUGGGCGUAAAAGGUGCGUAGGUGGUGAGGUAAGUCUGAUGUGAAAUCUCCGAGCUCAACUCGGAAAUGGCAUUGGAAACUACCUUGCUAGAGGGUUGGAGGGGGGGACUGGAAUACUUGGUGUAGCAGUGAAAUGCGUAGAUAUCAAGUGGAACACCAGUGGCGAAGGCGAGUCCCUGGACAACUCCUGACACUGAGGCACGAAAGCUAGGGGAGCAAACAGG